rnacentral:rRNA from 1 species
AUCUGGGCGGCGGAAUUCAGGAUGACGGACGCGUCUUCGCGGGCGCGUUCGUCGUUUGAUAUUUCCGUCGCCGACUCAACCCGCAGACGUCGCGACCUGUUCGCGGUCGGUCCCUGCUCGGAGGAGUCACGUUCGAGUUUGUUGCGUACGCGUUUCUGCGCGUUACGCGGCAAAGGCGUGAAUCUCUGGCUGGCCGUCGGACAGUACGCUCAACGGUGUCCGGUGUCGUCGUCUCGUACGCGCGCGCACCGGUACCGGUCGGCGACGAAUUCUUCGGGCCUCUUUCCGACCCGUCUUGAAACACGGACCAAGGAGUCUAACAUGCGCGCGAGUCGCGGGGUGUCGAGCGUACUACGGUGCGUUCGUUACGUUGCGAAACCCGUACAUGUCGAAGGCGUAAUGAAAGUAAAUGGGGAAGAUGGUGUUCCGAGUACACGUUCCGCGGUCAUUGGUACCGCGGCCGGACACCCGCAUUCCCGGGGCGUCUCAACGGCCCGUCGCGGAUGCGGGCAGUCGUCUUUCGGGGCGGCUGUCGGUCUGCGACGAACCGA